rnacentral:rRNA from 1 species
GGCCUUGUACACACCGCCGUCACACCAUGGGAGUGGGUUGCACCAGAAGUAGCUAGUCUAACCUUCGGGAGGACGGUUACCACGGUGUGAUUCAUGACUGGGGUGAAGUCGUAACAAGGUAGCCGUAGGGGAACCUGCGGCUGGAUCACCUCCU